UACGUAGGGUGCGAGCGUUAAUCGGAAUUACUGGGCGUAAAGUGUGCGCAGGCGGCUUCGCAAGUCGAGUGUGAAAUCCCCGAGCUUAACUUGGGAAUUGCGCUCGAAACUACGGAGCUGGAGUGUGGCAGAGGAAGGUGGAAUUCCACGUGUAGCGGUGAAAUGCGUAGAGAUGUGGAGGAACACCGGUGGCGAAGGCGGCGACCUGGUCCUUGACUGACGCUGAGGCGCGAAAGCGUGGGGAGCAAACAGG
rnacentral:rRNA from 1 species